CAGGAAUUGAAAGGCAGAGGGAGACACAAGGGUGUUUGUGAUCUCAGCCCUGGGGAGUCUUGAGGAAGAUGAUUUCUUGCUCAAGAGAGAGAGAGAGACCUUGACAUUUUCCCCCCAAGGAACAAUAUGAAACCAGCAGGUGAGCAGAUGUGAUGCACGUUCUCCAGCUGAUAUGGAAAAAGGCUCAGAGAAGAGACCACCUGCUUCACAAUCUUUUUUGAGCCCUUUUGAGUCUUCAGGGAAGAGACAGAAUAUGAAAGCAGCAUCACCUUUGGGAAGGACCUCUGUCUCUGAAUUAGUGGGACGGUAUCAGGAUAUAUUUGAUUGUGAAAAUGCUUCCUCAGCUGAUGGAAAGUCAAAGGUGAGCGGAAG